rnacentral:rRNA from 1 species
GACGAACGCUGGCGGCGUGCCUAAUACAUGCAAGUCGAACGCAGUGGGGACGGGUGCGUAACACGUGGGUAACCGCCCAUCAGAGGGGAUAACACUUGGAAACAGGUGCUAAAUCGCUAUUGAUGGAUGGACCCGCGGGGCAUUAGCUAGUUGGUGGUGUAACGGCUCACCAAGGCCACGAUGCAUAGCCGAGCUGAGAGGGUGAGCGGCCACACUGGGACGGAGACACGGCCCAGACUCGUACGGGAGGCAGCAGUAGGGAAUCGUCGGCAAUGGGCGAAAGCCUGACGGAGCAACGCCGCGUGAGUGAAGAAGGUUUUCGGAUCGUAAAACUCUGGUGUUAGGGAAGCGGGAUCUAACCAGAAAGCCACGGCUAACUACGUGCCAGCAGCCGCGGUAAUAC